rnacentral:lncRNA from 1 species
GCAUGUCUGCAGCCUUCCCGAGAAAGACCGACAGGGAGUUAUCCACGUGAAACCCACGUCCUUGAGUGACAGCCUCAAAGUCCAAGCCUCUGUCAUCUGUGACGCGUGUCCCUGCGAACAGCAACAAGAGUUUCGCUCACCCAAGUGCAACUUCAAUGGGGACUUUGCUUGUGGCCAGUGCAUCUGCCAUGCAGGCUGGCGAGGGGACACGUGCGACUGCUCCCCAGCCUCGUCCCUCAACAACGAGGCCUGCAUCCGCCCUGGGGAUGUGGAGCCGUGCUCGGGCCGGGGCGAAUGUCUCUGUGGCAAGUGCCAGUGCUACUCUGAAGACCUGAGCCUGCGCUUCGACGG